AUUGAACGCUGGCGGCAUGCCUUACACAUGCAAGUCGAACGGCAGCACGGGAGCAAUCCUGGUGGCGAGUGGCGAACGGGUGAGUAAUAUAUCGGAACGUGCCCAGUCGUGGGGAUAACGUAGCGAAAGCUACGCUAAUACCGCAUACGAUCUAUGGAUGAAAGCGGGGGAUCGCAAGACCUCGCGCGAUUGGAGCGGCCGAUAUCAGAUUAGGUAGUUGGUGAGGUAAAGGCUCACCAAGCCGACGAUCUGUAGCUGGUCUGAGAGGACGACCAGCCACACUGGGACUGAGACACGGCCCAGACUCCUAC
rnacentral:rRNA from 1 species